rnacentral:rRNA from 1 species
CCUACGGGAGGCAGCAGUAGGGAAUAUUGCUCAAUGGGGGAAACCCUGAAGCAGCAACGCCGCGUGGAGGAUGAAGGUUUUCGGAUUGUAAACUCCUUUUGUUAGAGAAGAUAAUGACGGUAUCUAACGAAUAAGCACCGGCUAACUCCGUGCCAGCAGCCGCGGUAAUACGGAGGGUGCAAGCGUUACCCGGAAUCACUGGGCGUAAAGAGCGCGUAGGCGGGAUAGCAAGUCAGAUGUGAAAUCCUAUGGCUUAACCAUAGAACUGCAUUGGAAACUGUUAUUCUAGAGUAUGGGAGAGGUAGGUGGAAUUCUCGGUGUAGGGGUAAAAUCCGUAGAGAUCAAGAGGAAUACUCAUUGCGAAGGCGACCUACUAGAACAUAACUGACGCUGAGGCGCGAAAGCGUGGGGAGCAAACAGGAUUAGAUACCCCAGUAGUC